rnacentral:rRNA from 1 species
AUUGAACGCUGGCGGCAGGCCUAACACAUGCAAGUCGAGCGGAUGAAGAGAGCUUGCUCUCUGAUUUAGCGGCGGACGGGUGAGUAAUGCCUAGGAAUCUGCCUGGUAGUGGGGGAUAACGUUCCGAAAGGAACGCUAAUACCGCAUACGUCCUACGGGAGAAAGCAGGGGACCUUCGGGCCUUGCGCUAUCAGGUGAGCCUAGGUCGGAUUAGCUAGUUGGUGAGGUAAUGGCUCACCAAGGCUACGAUCCGUAACUGGUCUGAGAGGAUGAUCAGUCACACUGGAACUGAGACACGGUCCAGACUCCUACGGGAGGCAGCAGUGGGGAAUAUUGGACAAUGGGCGAAAGCCUGAUCCAGCCAUGCCGCGUGUGUGAAGAAGGUCUUCGGAUUGUAAAGCACUUUAAGUUGGGAGGAAGGGCAGUAAGUUAAUACCUUGCUGUUUUGACGUUACCGACAGAAUAAGCACCGGCUAACUUCGUGCCAGCAGCCGCCGCGGUAA